GGAAUAAAUCUGUAAAAAUCAGUCACUGCUACAGUCCACUCGGGAAAUUAGCCAACAUCACCAGGAGCGAAGACAGUGCCGAUGAGGGGAAAGAGAAGUGUUUCCCUUUGAGCACCGAGUCCUUCCAGAGACUGACCAAAGUGGGGAAAGAGUCGGGGUCUUGGGACACCAAUCUCCAACAUGGGCACUCACACGUAAAGCAGGAAGAAACUUUUGCUUCUUCAUAACCUGAAGAAAGGUUGAUGCCAUCUCUAGAUGUACAUGGAGGAACAAGAGAGUGAGUAACGGUUACUUUGGAAAUUUUGAGCAACUUGUUGCCAAAAAAUAAGGGAUCUCCACAAAGCAGUUCCCAC
rnacentral:lncRNA from 1 species